GAUGAACGCUAGCGGCAGGCCUAACACAUGCAAGUCGAGGGGGAAGUUACUUUCGGGUGACUGAGACCGGCGUACGGGUGCGUAACGCGUAUACAAUCUGCCUUUCACUGGGGGAUAGCCCGAAGAAAUUUGGAUUAAUACCCCAUAGUAUAUAGGGACGGCAUCGUUUUUAUAUUAAAGCUUAGGUGGUGAAAGAUGAGUAUGCGUUCUAUUAGCUAGUUGGAGAGGUAACGGCUCCCCAAGGCGAUGAUAGAUAGGGGUUCUGAGAGGGAUGUCCCCCACACUGGUACUGAGAUACGGACCAGACUCCUACGGGAGGCAGCAGUGAGGAAUAUUGGACAAUGGUCGGAAGACUGAUCCAGCCAUGCCGCGUGCAGGAUGAAGGUCUUAUGGAUUGUAAACUGCUUUUGUAAGGGAAGAAUAAGGGCUACGCGUAGUUUGAUGACGGUACCUUACGAAUAAGCAGCGGCUAACUCCGUG
rnacentral:rRNA from 1 species